GGUACAGCCUGGAGAAGGACACAUGACCAGUUUUCUCUGAGCCAGCACAUUUUCCAUUCUAAAUAUAGCCCAAGAUGACCCAAGACAUCUUCCCCCUCACAAGGAGACUCAAGGUUCUGUAUUUUCCCGCGUUUCUGUGACUUCUGAAAGAAGUGAACAGCGAGAGCUGAGGCUUUUACCUCCCAUCGCCUGAUCCCAUGGACCCUGGGUCCUAAGGAGCGAUGGCCACCCGCCCUUGAGAGGAGGGCCCGGCCUGGGUGAGGAGCUCUCUUUGGUCCCCAACAUUUAGUAGCUACCAAAAUAUUUUGCCAGCCCUCUCCCUCCAGCAGAGUGAAACAGGGCUUCUAUCCACCUAGGCAGGGUCAGUCGUCACGCAGGCCGAAAAUGAGAAGCUUUCUGCCACCCUUGUGUUCAUCCACCCCAGCAUCUCAGAAGUGAGGCCCAGCCUCAUGAGUUUUAAUUGGACAACAGAUUCCUACUUCCCCUAGGAACCUUGCAGCAACAUCAAGAUGGACCUUUUAUCACAUUUCUGGAAGGGUGAAGGUGCUCUGGAAAAAGCCAGUGGAGAGAGAGGGAGGCCCUCCCGCAAGGGAGAAAGCUAAGCCACAGCAGGCGCUAGGACUCCCGGAGGAGAUGACACAGCCACCGGCUGGCACUUGUCGGCUCGGGCUGCACCGCACAUCAGCGGUCAUGACGAUGCUCCCCGCGUCACCAGGGACAGUGGCGCAAAGCCCGUCCAGAGCUGCUCCAGAGAGUGAGGGACCCAGCACGGCAUCUCUCUCCCUGCCUGUGGCUUGACGGGCCCGUGCUCUUGGCUCCCUGGGCAGAAAAGAUAUGGAACUCCUCCUGGCAUGGCAGCACCAGUACCCCUGUGCCUUUGGCCUCCCUCCCCUGGUGGCGUGGAGCCCAGAGACACCAACAUCCUCUGGGACUAAGGAAGCCCUUCCAGAACUUGCCACCAGCCCCGGAAUCCUGGCUGCUCCCCCAGUGAUGGAACAUUGGACAUGGUGGCUCUCAGGGCUGAAUUCCGGAGUGCUAACGUGGACCAGGAAGUAAGGCUUAUGAGACUUGGUCUUCGAGUGCCCUCCUUUCUCCCUUGCUUUACACCUGAAUUUGGCCUCCUGCUCUACAUCUGUCCGCCAAAUGCCUCUUUUAGCCUCGCUGUUACCCCGCAGCGUCCCAUUGUUUAUACAAGUUUUUUCUCCUCCGCCAAGAAUUUCUUAGUACCUCAAUUAGAACGUAGGAUUUGGGGAGAUUCGUGCUGUCAUCCUUCCCCCCACUCCUGCACUUUAGUGAUUUGCAUGUAGAAGUUACUCAGUCCAGAUUUGUUGAAGGUGGAUUCAACCUGGAUGUCUUCUGUGCAUUUACUCUUGUUAUCUGUUUUGAUCCCAAAUCCUUUCCCCGUGUGGUUCUGGAGUUCCUCCUGCUUCAGGGUUUGGUCUCCUCUAGGGAUGCUGAUAUCUCCUAAUUUAGACCGAAUCUACAGGAAUGUUCACUGUAGCUGAUUUCCCAUCAACUCGGAGGAAAAGAACUCAUACAUUUUUAGGGCUGAAAGAUUCUCCAGAAAGUAUUUAGUCCAUUUCUUUUCAACAGGCCAGGUAACUUGUCCGGGGUCAACUGGUUACGUACGCGACAGAAGAGAGAAGCCAAAUGUCCUGGUUUGAUGUGAGGUCAUUGGUCGUGUGGAUGAAGACAUCAUCUGUAUGGCUGGUGUAGGGUGAGUGGGGGCAUCACAUCGUAUCUGUUCCGGAAGUUUCCUCCGUUGGCUCCCGGGCAUUUCAGCUUAACUUUAACAGCUUCCAAGUGAGUUUAGACACCUUCAUCAUGUCUGCUCCACAGGGGUUGCGUGGGGGCAGCUGGAAGACGGACCCACUCCCAACACAAUCAGGUCACACAGACGGUGUUCCUAGCAGCAGAGAUGGAACGGUCUCCUGUUCCAUCUCGCAAAUCCACAGAUAUGACUGACAGGGAGUGUUUUCCACUUAGAGUCAUGCAGAUCUCAGAGGUAGGUCUGUUUCCAACCACUGAGGAAGCAUAAAGCAAAACAGUCUUGUCGGCAUAGACAUAUGCCUCAUUGUUUUCAAUCUGAACACAUGUUUUACAUCAAGAGAAGGGCUUGUGGUCGGGGUAGGGGGAGCUGAAGGGAGAUUCAAAGGUUCUUCAGCACUCAAAGAUCUCAACCUCUUCAAAGUUUCAACCCUCAGAGCUCUUACGAUGUUUCAUCCCACUCAGCAGAGACGCUUCUCUGCCCACACUCUCAGGUGCAUGCGUGGGGACUCGAGUGUGGUCCAGAAGGACGGAGAAAGGUAACAGGAUGGUCACCUCACUGCAGAUAUUUUCCCCAGAGGAUGUCAUUUCUCCGUUGGGAUUUGAUGAGCUCCCUAAGGCACAUUCACAUGCAGAAAGCAGGUGAUAUCUGGCUGCUAGAGAGGCCGCAUCAAGCCAUGACGGUCAUGGGUACCACGAGCUCACCCUGGAGGGGAAUAAGCACCUUCUAUCUGGGACGCCAGGCAGGUGGGUGCUGGCCAGAACCAGUGUCAGGGACAACAGGUUGAUCAAGAGAAAAGGGAAGGGUUUGCAUUCAGUUAUCAUCACUUUCUAGCCUCAGGGUUCUCAACCGCAAGUUGGAGAUAUUAAUAACUUCCUUCCAUGAUAUUUUUGGGGUUCACCAAAUGAGAUCAUUACCUGUGAAAGUGCUUGGCACAGAGAGAUGAGGGGCAGUGCCCUCGACAGGAAGGAAUUCCGGCACCCACGCCAGCUCCUGGCUGUCUUCUUUCUGAGAUGACUGUUUCUAAGGGGAAGGAGGAGCAAGAUGAUGCUCCCAACCUGCAGGUCACGUCCAGGCAAGUCAAGUUGGAGUGUAAGAGUACCACGUACACUGGGCCCCAAGUGGUUUGUCGUCAGAGGGCCCCGUGGGAAACAGAGUGGCAGGGUGAUGGGGGUGGGGCCAGGAGAGCCCAGCACGAGUCCUGGGGUCACUGCUUGCACUCUUGCUACUUUGGAUGGGUUCUUUGCCUCCUUGGCCGUCUAUAAAUUGGCCCAUCUAUAAAUUGGAGCAGACUACACACAGCAUAGGGUCGUGCCAAGGCUCCUGCAGAAUGAUCCAGGAAGACAGCUGGAAAUGACAAGGUGCUGAAACAUGUGUGAUGGUGUUGUUGUUCUUAAAGGAAGGGAGAAAGGAGGGAGAGCAUGAGAAGUGCGGGGGAAGGGAUUAGCCUCUAUUUAAAAAUUUUUUUUUAAUUUUAAAAUAGUUUUAAGUUUCCAGAAGAGUUGAAAAAAGGGUCUGAAGAGUUCCCACAUACACCACAUCCAGUUUUUCCUACGGUCCAGCUCCUAUAUUAGGAUGGAACAUCUGUCCUGUUUCAUA